rnacentral:rRNA from 1 species
UACGUAGGGUGCAAGCGUUAAUCGGAAUUACUGGGCGUAAAGCGUGCGCAGGCGGUUGUGCAAGACCGAUGUGAAAUCCCCGGGCUUAACCUGGGAAUGGCAUUGGUGACUGCACGGCUAGAGUGUGUCAGAGGGGGGUAGAAUUCCACGUGUAGCAGUGAGAUGCGUAGAGAUGUGGAGGAAUACCGAUGGCGAAGGCAGCCCCCUGGGAUAACACUGACGCUCAUGCACGAAAGCGUGGGGAGCAAACAGG